rnacentral:rRNA from 1 species
UACGGAGGGUGCAAGCGUUAUCCGGAUUCACUGGGUUUAAAGGGUGCGUAGGCGGGCAGGUAAGUCAGAGGUGAAAUCUUCGGGCUUAACCCGGAAACUGCCUUUGAUACUAUCUGUCUUGAAUAUGGUGGAGGUAAGCGGAAUAUGUCAUGUAGCGGUGAAAUGCUUAGAGAUGACAUAGAACACCUAUUGCGAAGGCAGCUUACUACGCCUAUAUUGACGCUGAGGCACGAAAGCGUGGGGAGCAAACAGG